rnacentral:tRNA from 1 species
GGCUCGGUAGCUUAGUUGGUAGAGCGCUCGUCUAGCAUACAAGAGUCCUGGGUUCAAAUCCCAGCCGAGCAC